rnacentral:rRNA from 1 species
GGGUUGUGAGGUUAAGCGACUAAGCGUACACGGUGGAUGCCCUGGCAGUCAGAGGCGAUGAAGGACGUGCUAAUCUGCGAAAAGCGACGGCGAGGUGAUAUGAACCCUUGACCCGUCGAUGUCCGAAUGGGGAAACCCAGUGCAAUUCGUUGCACUAUCGUUAACUGAAUACAUAGGUUAACGAGGCGAACCGGGGGAACUGAAACAUCUAAGUACCCCGAGGAAAAGAAAUCAACCGAGAUUCCCCCAGUAGCGGCGAGCGAACGGGGAGCAGCCCGGAG